AUUGAACGCUGGCGGCAGGCCUAACACAUGCAAGUCGAGCGGGGCGGCGGACGCGUGCGUGAUGCCUAGGAAUCUGCAUGGUCGUGGGGGAUGACGUCCGGAAACGGACGCUAAUACCACAUCCUCUCCGCUGAGCCUGGGGCGGAUUAGCUAGUUGGUGGGGUAAGGGCCUACCAAGGCGACGAUCCGUAACUGGUCUGAGAGGAUGAUCAGUCACACUGGAACUGAGACACGGUCCAGACUCCUACGGGAGGCAGCAGUGGGGAAUAUUGGACAAUGGGCGAAAGCCUGAUGCAGCCAUGCCGCGUGUGUGAAGAAGGUCUUCGGAUUGUAAAGCACUUUAAGUUGGGAGGCGUUACCAACAGAAUAAGCACCGGCUAACUCCGUGCCAGCAGCCGCGGUAAUUC
rnacentral:rRNA from 1 species